rnacentral:rRNA from 1 species
GACGAACGCUGGCGGCGUGCUUAACACAUGCAAGUCGAACGGAAAGGCCCUGCUUUUGUGGGGUGCUCGAGUGGCGAACGGGUGAGUAACACGUGAGUAACCUGCCCUUGACUUUGGGAUAACUUCAGGAAACUGGGGCUAAUACCGGAUAGGAGCUCCUGCUGCAUGGUGGGGGUUGGAAAGUUUCGGCGGUUGGGGAUGGACUCGGGGCUUAUCAGCUUGUUGGUGGGGUAGUGGCUUACCAAGGCUUUGACGGGUAGCCGGCCUGAGAGGGUGACCGGCCACAUUGGGACUGAGAGACGGCCCAGACUCCUACGGGAGGCAGCAGUGGGGAAUAUUGCACAAUGGGCGGAAGCCUGAUGCAGCAACGCCGCGUGCGGGAUGACGGCCUUCGGGUUGUAAACCGCUUUCGCCUGUGACGAAGCGUGAGUGACGGUAAUGGGUAAAGAAGCACCGGCUAACUACGUG